GACCUGCAGAAGGAUCAUUG
rnacentral:rRNA from 1 species